rnacentral:piRNA from 1 species
UAGUACAGAGGGCUAGCUGUGAGUUG